AUGAUGGGCUACAGAGCAGUGCUGCUGUUUUUAACUGUCUUUUGGACAGGAAGCCACUCUCAGACUCUAACAGAAUCUGGAUCAGUGGUUAAAAGACCUGGAGAAUCCCACACUCUGACCUGUACAGCCUCAGGAUUCACAUUCAGUGACUAUGGGAUGCACUGGAUCCGACAGGCUCCUGGGAAAGGACUGGAGUGGGUUGCACUAGUAAGUCAGCCCACUGGUAACAAGCAGUGGUACUCUCCAUCAGUCCAAGGCCGAUUCAACAUCUCCAGAAACAACGACAAGCAGCAGGUGUAUCUGCAGAUGAGCAGCCUGAAGACUGAAGAUUCUGCUGUUUAUUACUGUGCGAGACACACAGUGACUGAAGUUGGUUCAGCAGCUGUACAAAAACCCCCAGCAACAAUAAACACUGAUCUGUUAGACUUCAAGUUUCAGACUCUGAAGUGA